CGGUUAUUUUUUUCUAACGAGGAAGUGAAGUCAAGUCCGCCAUUUCAUCUUCUUCUUUAUAUCGGAAAAGCUGAAGGAAAGGACAACUCUCACAUCAGUGCAUUACUAAUUGUUUGACUUCAUCAUCAAGCACACCAGCUCAGAUUGUGAUGGACCUGGAAUGCGACACCAGUUACUCUUAAGUCAAGAACCAAAUGAAGCACCAGAGUACAGAUUAUAGAGGUAUCUGAAGUUGAACUAACUGGAAGCAGGGAACCAUACUAAUAAAGUUCCUUUAGCAGGUUCCUUGUAAAGAUGAACCCAGGGAAGGAUCGAAAGUGGAGAAGACCAGAUCAAGAAAGACUACAUCAAGAUCUGCGGUCAGUUCAAAGGAUGUUUUGCAUUGGACUGUUUUUUUUGGCUUUGACCCUUGCUCGCCCCUGACCUCACUCUUUAACUGCCCUGUUGGAUUUUCAGUUUAUUUAUUUUUUUUUUAUUUAUUUAUUUUUUUUUUUGGUUCUGGGUAGAUGCUAAUAAAUAUUUAGUUGUAAUUAUUUAAAUAAUGUUUUUUUGUUAAAUAUGUGAUUUCUGUGUUUGUUCUGUCUACUCGUACUUGUUUAUCUUGUUUCUGUAAUUAUCAUUUGUUUAUUUGACCCCUGCCUCGCCUCUGAUCUUGUUUUUGAAUUGCCCUUUAUAUGUCUUUUUAAUUAUUGGUUCUGGUUAUAUGGUUAUAAAAUAUUUGUUAAUUUAAUUAAUAUGCAUUUUAUAAAAUAAUAUAUAUAUAUAUUUUCUGUGUUAAUUCUGUAUCUAUCUAAUUUGUAUAUACAUUUGUGUUUGAAUGUUCUUCUUAUUCUGUAUAUCCACUUACCUAAUUUUAACUUUUAUAUAUAUUUAUUUGCAUUUAAUUUGUGAUAAUUCUGUAUGCAUUUAUUUAUCUAAUUCAUAUAUUUCUUUGUAUUGCAUUGAUUAAUCUGUUGUUGUUUUUUGUAUGCAUCUAUUUAUAUAAUUUAUAUAAAUUAUAUAUUUGUAUUUAUCAAUUUAUAUGCUUCCUUUAAAGCAAUUUUUUAAAAUAAAGCA